UAAGCGCUUCAAAAAUUAUUUGAUGUAAUAUCGUAAAACCACACUAGUUAUGCUCCUGUAUUUAUUUUGAAAUCAGAUCAGUUUUAAUGCACUGAAGUCACACAGCACAGAGCACCGUGAGGUCAGCCUUCAAAUGAUGACGGCGAGGAUCCAAGACACAUGCGCAGUGAGCAUCAUCCGACUGAGGAAAGCGACCUAAUAAUAAUAAUAAUAAUAAGACGGAAUCAAACUUCCCUUUUUAGGACGCUGAAAAACGCUUUACAAGAAAAACACAAAUGACAUGAAAGAAGUAGCUAAGAAGAUGUGGAUAAAAGUAAAUGGUGGAGAAAGUAAGUGCAAUAGAAUGUAAAACCACCACAAGUGAGUUUGGCUCCAGAGACAACAGUGUGAAGACCCCACCCACCCUAUUGUUGACCCAGGAAGGUAAGGCCAGUCUUUGUUGUUUUGUUUAGUGUAAAAAAUUCUACAAAUCAUGAUUGCAAAACAAAUGAUGGUACAAUAAAACUUUAUUUUGAAUGUUGAAAAAAAGCUUACCAGUCACCAUGACUACAGAACACACAACAUAAAGGGAAAAAAAAAUCAUGGCUGAACAAGCAAUAUGUCAUCAUUAACCAUAAAUUAAUUUUAAUUCAGAAUUUCUCUCAAAAGUCUGGUUGAAGUUAUUGGUAACAUCA